rnacentral:rRNA from 1 species
UACGGAGGAUGCGAGCGUAAUCCGGAUUUAUUGGGUUUAAAGGGUGCGUAGGCGGACUGUCAAGUCAGCGGUAAAAUUGAGAGGCUCAACCUCUUCCCGCCGUUGAAACUGGUGGUCUUGAGUGGAUGAGAAGUACGCGGAAUGCGUGGUGUAGCGGUGAAAUGCAUAGAUAUCACGCAGAACUCCGAUUGCGAAGGCAGCGUACCGGCAUCCAACUGACGCUGAGGCACGAAAGCGUGGGGAUCAAACAGG